UAUUUUCACAUUUCAUGAAAACAACUCAAAUUCAAAUGGUAGUUUUAUAGGCAUGGUAACCUACUAAACUAAUACAUUUCAUUAAAAUAAGACAAUUUCAUAUGAAUUCGAGCUGGAUUCAUGUGCUCGUGCUUCACUCUUAACAGACCUAACACCUACACAACAUAUUCAUUCUUCAAUGACUGUCUCUACAUGUAUAAUUCUUGAGCUCUUUCCCUUAAUUCUUGAGCUCUUUCCUU
rnacentral:lncRNA from 1 species